GGGGCAGUCUUCCCAGCUGUGUUUUACUCGGUAGUAGUGGUUGUGCAAACUACAACAAUGAGAAUAAAGGUGUCACUUCAAAGAAAAUGGCAAAGACAAGCACCUCUCUGUUAGAGAUGUCUUGCACUGCUGGAGCACAUGAGCGUAAUGGUGAACAAGACGGAAAGACUUUUCCUGUGUCCCAAGAUGAGCUCUGCUUUCCAUCCUCAAGCUUGUCCAGAUGAGAGAGAGCCAUAUUGCGUUCGGUUGCAUCAUACAAUGCAGGCUGUGGGCUCCCCAGCACAAUGAUUACUUUCCCACUGUCCAGACACCGCUGAGAUCA